UCUUUUUUAAAAUUGGGCAAUUACUUUGUUACUUUAGCAAACCUAACCCACUUCUUUCUUAUCCUACCCGCCUGCCGCCUCCUAUUUCAUCUUCCUCAAGCUGUAUUGCUCAACUUGCAUAUACAUACUCCAUUUUCAUUUGAUUUUAGCAAUAGAAAAACACAAUUUUAAUUUAUUGGAUAUAUCGAAAAUUUGUAUUGAUUAUUUAUUCUCCUCUAGUAUUAAUUUCUCUAUCUAUCAAUUGAAUUUUGUCGGCGUUCUACAAUCUAAUUGUAGAACUUAUUCAUUUAUACGAUUAUCUUCAUGUGUUUGUUAAGGAUUUUAUGGCUAUUUACGGUAGAUACGAUUAAAUCUCGAUAAUUUAUCCCGUCAGCGGUGAUAGUGGUGUCGGCGUUGUGGCAGAGCUCGGAAAUUGCUGACUCCGUCGUUACCUUCUCCGCCCUGGUUUUCCGUUGAAACAAUUUUCGAGUUCUCCAUUGAAGUGUUGUCAUGCUCUUAAUUGACGGGCUUCUCUCCUCUAGUAUUUGCAGCUCACAGAACUUGGGUUUCAAUGAAGAAUGCAAAUUUUGGUUGCUUAGCUUCAGAAAAAUAGUCUUCAAAGUUAUAUGAAGAAAGCAAAGAACAAAAAUUCGGCCUUUGAUGUACGAAGUAUAAUUUUCCGAGGUUAGUCAAGCACAAGACUAGAUUAUGUCAGAUUAAUAAUCAUGGCUUUUAUCAAGGUUGAGCAAAACUUUUGUCAAGUACAAUACUUUGUAUAUUACAAAGUAAUGAAAUUAUUUUUCUGGGUUUAA